UACGUAGGGUGCAAGCGUUAAUCGGAAUUACUGGGCGUAAAGCGUGCGCAGGCGGCUUUGCAAGACAGAUGUGAAAUCCCCGGGCUUAACCUGGGAAUGGCAUUUGGGACUGCAAGGCUCGAGUGCGGCAGAGGAGACUGGAAUUCCUGGUGUAGCAGUGAAAUGCGCAGAUAUCAGGAGGAACACCGAUGGCGAAGGCAGCUCGCUGGGACGGUACUGACGCUGAGACGCGAAAGCGUGGGGAGCAAACAGG
rnacentral:rRNA from 1 species